GCCUAACACAUGCAAGUCGAACGAGAUCUUUUUUUAUUUUACAAGAAAAAGAUUGCAGUGGCGGACGGGUGAGGAACACGUAAGAACUUACCUUUUGGCGAGGGAUAACAUCGGGAAACUGAUGCUAAUACCCCAUAAUGCUGAGGAGCGAAAGGGAAACUGCCAAAAGAGAGGCGUGCGUCUGAGUAGCUAGUUGGAGGAGGUAAAUGCUCCCCAAGGCGAUGAUCAGUAGCUGGUCUGAGAUGAUGAUCAGCCACACUGGGACUGAGACACGGCCCAGACUCCUACGGGAGGCAGCAGUGGGGAAUUUUCCACAAUGGGCGAAAGCCUGAUGGAGCAAUACCGCGUGAGGGAUGAAGCAUCGUGGUGCGUAAACCUCUUUUCUUAAUGAAGAAGUUCUGACGGUAGUUAAGGAAUAAGCACCGGCUAACUCCGUGCCAGCAGCCGCAGUAAUAC
rnacentral:rRNA from 1 species